UGGACAGCGACGAGGGCGCGCAAGGUGACGCCGUCCUGGACAUGGCCGACCUGGAGGAGGAGCUGUCCCAGAUCGAUCCAUACACCACGAUGCCCGCCCACACACCUAAAGGUCAUCAUCUUCGAGUUCCUCGAGGACUGAAGAGGAGCUGGCUUGCUGGAAGGAGGAUGUGCCCCAGUUCGAUCUGAAUUCAGAAACAAUUCAUCACCAACCAGCCCUAGGCAGAGGCAAACCAUUCGCCCCCUUGUGUCGUCCGUUUCGGCUCCGUCCGUGCCGUUGUAGUGGAUGCCGGCCAAUGGCACCUUUGGAGAAGGCUCUGGAAAGCUUUUGUGGCCAGUUGCACCAUAUGUCUGAUGAGUUCUGCAGCGGCGCAUGCGGCAUCCUUGCUAUUUACUUUGGCUUGAGAAGCAAAAUAGCCGUCAGUUUUGUUUCAUGAAUUUUUGUCUGGAUGUGCAAGUAAAGCAGGUCAUGGUAACACUUUUCAGUUGUUGAAGAGGACAUCCAGGUUAGCAGAGAAGCUGGCAGACCUGUAGCAGCAGAAGCCUGGUGCACCAUUUUCACCUGUUGGAAGCUGG